AGUACAACUCUGUUCGGUGGAUCACUCCGAUCGUGUUUUCGAUGAAGAUCGCAACCAACUUCGUAGCUUGAUGCGACUGCAUACUGCUUUGAA
rnacentral:rRNA from 1 species